AGUGAACGCUGGCGGUAGGCCUAACACAUGCAAGUCGAACGGCAGCACAGUAAGAGCUUGCUCUUACGGGUGGAGAGUGGCGGACGGGUGAGGAAUACAUCGGAAUCUACUUUUUCGUGGGGGAUAACGUAGGGAAACUUACGCUAAUACCGCAUACGACCUACGGGUGAAAGCAGGGGAUCUUUGGACCUUGCGCGAUUGAAUGAGCCGAUGUCGGAUUAGCUAGUUGGCGGGGUAAAGGCCCACCAAGGCGACGAUCCGUAGCUGGUCUGAGAGGAUGAUCAGCCACACUGGAACUGAGACACGGUCCAGACUCCUACGGGAGGCAGCAGUGGGGAAUAUUGGACAAUGGGCGCAAGCCUGAUCCAGCCAUACCGCGUGGGUGAAGAAGGCCUUCGGGUUGUAAAGCCCUUUUGUUGGGAAAGAAAAGCAGCAGGUUAAUACCCCGCUGUUCUGACGGUACCCAAAGAAUAAGCACCGGCUAACUUCGUG
rnacentral:rRNA from 1 species